rnacentral:tRNA from 1 species
GGGCCUGUAGCUCAAUGGCAGAGCAUUUGCCUUGCAUGCGUGAGGCACUGGGUUCGAUCCUCAGGACCA